rnacentral:piRNA from 1 species
UUACCUGGCUACACUAGCCAAUGAUGGAGA